UGGGGAAUCUUGCGCAAUGGGCGAAAGCCUGACGCAGCAACGCCGCGUGAGCGAAGAAGGCCUUCGGGUUGUAAAGCUCUGUCAGGGGGAAAGAAGGCACCUGGGUUAAUAGCCCAAGGGCUGACGGUACCCCCAAAGGAAGCCACGGCUAACUACGUGCCAGCAGCCGCGGUAAUACGUAGGUGGCGAGCGUUGUCCGGAAUCAUUGGGCGUAAAGAGCGCGUAGGUGGCUUGUCAGGUCCGAUGUGAAAACCUGGGGCUCAACCCCAGGCCUGCAUUGGAAACCGGCUUGCUAGAGUCUGGGAGAGGAGAGUGGAAUUCCUGGUGUAGCGGUGAAAUGCGUAGAUAUCAGGAGGAACACCGGUAGCGAAGGCGGCUCUCUGGAACAGUACUGACGCUGAGGCGCGAAAGCUAGGGGAGCGAACAGG
rnacentral:rRNA from 1 species